rnacentral:rRNA from 1 species
GUUAAACGGCCGCGGUAUUUUGACCGUGCAAAGGUAGCGCAAUCACUUGUCUUUUAAAUGAAGACCUGUAUGAAUGGUUAAACGAGGGCUUAACUGUCUCCCCCUUCAGGUCAAUGAAAUUGAUCUCUCCGUGCAGAAGCGGACAUAUAAAUACAAGACGAGAAGACCCUUUGGAGCUUAAGAUACAAGAUCACCUAUGUCAAGAGACAAAAAACUAAACCAAAUAGAAUAUUGAUCCUUAUCUUCGGUUGGGGCGACCACGGGAGACAAUAAAGCUCCCACGCGGACUGGGGAAAAAUACCCUAAAACUAAGAGAGACAUCUCUAAGUCACAGAACAUCUGACCAAAAGAUCCGGCCACAAUGCCGAUCAACGGACCAAGUUACCCUAGGGAUAACAGCGCAAUCCUCUUUAAGAGUUCAUAUCGACAAGGGGGUUUACGACCUCGAUGUUGGAUCAGGACAUCCUAAUGGUGCAGC